rnacentral:rRNA from 1 species
AGCAGCCGCGGUAAUUCCAGCUCCAAUAGCGUAUAUUAAAGUUGUUGCAGUUAAAAAGCUCGUAGUUGAAUUUCGGGAUUGACACAUCGGUCGUGCCUUAAGGGGUAUGAACUGGUGUAGUCAAUUUCUCACCUUCUGGAGAACCACGAUGCCCUUAAUUGGGUGUCGCGGGGAACCAGGACCUUUACUUUGAAAAAAUUAGAGUGUUUAAAGCAGGCAUUUUGCUUGAAUACAUUAGCAUGGAAUAAUAAAUAGGACGGCAUGAUUCUAUUUUGUGGUUUCUAGGAUCACCGUAAUGAUUAAUAGGGAUAGUUGGGGGCAUUAGUAUUCAAUUGUCAGAGGUGAAAUUCUUGGAUUUAUUGAAGACUAACUACUGCGAAAGCAUUUGCCAAGGAUGUUUUCAUUAAUCAAGACGAAAGUUAGGGGAUCGAAGACGAUCAGAUACCGUCGUAGUCUUAACCAUAAACUAUGCCGACUAGGAAUCAGACGAUGUAAUUUUUAAUGUACUCGUUUGGCACCU